rnacentral:lncRNA from 1 species
CUGGCGGUGCCGGGGAUCCUGGUGCCGGAGGCUCUAGGGCUAGGCAACUGGGUGAAGGCGCAGGAGUGGGCGGCCGUCCCCGGCGGCCAGGCGACGUACCUGGGGAACCCGGUGCCGUGGGGGUCGCUGCCGACGAUCCUGGUGAUCGAGUUCGUGGCCAUCGCGUUCGCGGAGCACCAGCGCACCAUGGAGAAAGACCCCGAGAAGAAGAAGUACCCCGGCGGCGCCUUCGACCCGCUGGGAUUCUCCAAGGACCCCGCCAAGUUCGAGGAGUACAAGCUCAAGGAGAUCAAGAACGGCCGCCUCGCCAUGCUCGCGUUCGUCGGCUUCUGCGUGCAGCAGUCGGCGUACCCCGGCACCGGCCCGCUGGAGAACCUCGCGACCCACCUCGCCGACCCGUGGCACAACAACAUCGGCGACAUCAUCAUCCCCAGAUCAAUCUCCCCUUGAGCUCAGAUCAGAUGCAUGUUUUGUACGUGUGUCAUUGCCUUGCCAUUACUAGGCAUUGCCUGCUGCCUGCCUGCGUGCAGGAGCUGUACAACGACGACGGCGACUUCCUGCGCCGGAAAACCCCUUGUAAUGUAAAGCUUAUAUUAUUAAGUAGCGGCUACUCUUGUAGUCUUGUAUCAAAUCUAAACUGGUUUAGCUGAGUCCCAUGGUUAUUUCGAGACUAAUUAACCAGGGGAAGUUUAGCUUAAAACGGAGAAAAUUCAUACGAGAACUUUGACAAAUGAUAACUACAAAGUAUCUGUGUUUCUGCUUUCCGCAAACCCUUUUUUUUGUUUCUUUUUUUUCUCCUAGAUCUCUUUCGCUCUUUGCUGUAACUCUCACUUUCUUUUUGUUGUAACUUAACUUACCUGCCUUUAAUAAAAUUCCUGUAGGGGCCAAGGCCCCUCCAGUUCUCUCAAAAAAAAA